ensembl:lncRNA novel transcript, antisense to CHRNA5
GCCCCAGCCUCCCGAGUAGCUGUGACUAUAGGCAUGUGCCACCAUGCCCAGCUAAUUUUUGUAUUUUUAGUAGAAAUGGAGUUUCACCAUGUUGACCAGGCUGAUCUCAAACUCCUGACCUCAAAUGAUCCACCCACCUCGGCCUCCCAAAGUGGUGGGAUUACAGGCAUGAAGCCACUGCGCCCAGCCUAAAAGAACUUUUGAUAACUCCAUUAACUGUUAUAAUGGAGUUCUGCCUACAGAUUAUCACAAUUUAGAAACAAAGUUACUGAAGACAAAAUUAAAACAGUUCACCCACUGCCCUCACCCCAAGAAAUUAAAACAAUUCAUCAGGUCAGAGCCAAGAAAUAUGGCAGGAUUAUUCCUUAGAAUAUAACACUAAAUUUUCUUUAGAGUUAUCCAAGAUGCUGAUGGGGGAAGUGGAGAAGUGAGAUUUGUGUAAAUGCCCCAUUUUGCAGGUGCUUUAACUGAAACAAGCCUUAGUAAAGAUCUUUUAUAGAAAAUAUGUCAACAAUUCUGGCCCUCAAUCUAUGCUUAGUCUUACUUAAGGGUCAUGCUGUUUACUCUGCCAAAAUUAAUGAAAGUAACUUCUGAACUUAAAAUGGAAGAAGAUCUGCAUUUGUAAAUACACAUCACAGACCUCACGGACAUCAUUUUCCUUCAUGAUGUGUCUUGUAAUGUAGCGAAUAGAAUCGAGCGCAGCUUCCAAUGUGUUUCUAGAAGAUUUUGGUCCACUACCACUCUCAGUUUCCUCUUUCUGAGUGAAGUACCUGUCUACAUGACUUCUCAUGCAAAGCAGUUUGGGAAGCGUGUGAAGAAAUAUCUUGCGGACCAAAGGCGCCAUGGCAUUAUGUGUUGAGGAAGAACGAUGAUGAAUGUUGAUAGCGAAGACGGUUACCAUAAUUGACAGUGUCACAAAAAUCAUGGUAAAUACCAGAUACUCUCCAAUUAGAGGUAUGACUUUUGAAGAUGAUGGUAUGAUCUCUUCAAUAACCAGAAGGAAGACAGUCAAAGACACAAGUACUGAAGUGCAGAGACAAAUCUUUUCACCUUCAUUUGAAGGAAGAUAGAAGACAAGUACAGUUAAAAAUGAGAGCCCAAUACAGGGUAUUAUAAGGAACAAGGUAUAAAAGAGAGGCAGGCGCUUGAUUACAAAUGAGUAAGUGACAUACGGAUACCAGCAACAGCUGUCGGUUCUGUUUCCUUUGCUCCCUGUUGCACUCACAAUCUCCCAUUCUCCAUUAUCAAAAAAAUCUCUCUUGUCUACAUCUUGGUCCUCUAGAAUUAUAUCAACCUGUGAUCCAUCAUAAGUCCAAGAACCAAAUUUCAUGGAACAGUUCUGAAGGUCAAAUGGGAAAAACGUGACAUCUAUGGUACAGGAACUUUUGUAGUUUGCCGGUGGAGUCCAGGUGACAGUGCCAUUGUACCUGAUGACUGUUUUCGUACUGGUCCCUUCAAAACGUCCAUCUGCACUAAAAUACACACAUAUAAAAUAACAAUGCAGAAAUUAAACAAUGCACAUGAAUUGUAUUAAUAUAAGCCUAAUAUAAAAGCAGGCCUAUCAUUGAUUGCAUGAAAUAAUUUUUAAAUUACUAUACUUCAGAUAAGAUAUACGUGCUACAUAGGGACCCUGCUCCAGGAAUAUCUUCCUUAAAUAUCUAACUCUACUAGAACUGAACCCCUUCUUCUGCAUCUACUCCAGAACUGACAAAUUUUCACAGAAGCCUGAGAUUCUAAUGAUUGAAAAGACCUCACCUUACACACAGAAUAGACUCAGGCUAUUGACACAAUGGGCACGCAUACAGCCAGAACCUGAAUCCACACUCCUAGACUCCCUCCACAGUGCUCUUCUUCCUUCAUCGCAAAUACUGGCCGUUUUUUACUUUGAUGGGGAAAGACCAUGAACACCAAGCUGGGCAUGACCCUGAAAAGCAGCUAUGCCUCUCAAGCUCUCCCACCAAGUGAAUUCAUAUAUGAGAAAAGUCUAGUAUAGAAUCCAUAUACUAGGAAAGCACACCACCAACAUAAGAUUUCUUUAAAAUGUUGCUGUCUUCAAAUUCAUGUGGCUUUUGCACACUAUUCUGUAAUAUAUCCAUGUUUAAUAUAAAAAUGUUUUCAAUUACUGAAAAUAAAAUGAUGCUCCAGGAAGCUGCA